UUGCCGAAAGGCGAACUAAAACAACAACCAAAAACAAACUAUACACGACUUAAAACAAAAUCCCCUCGGUUGGAUACAGUGAAUUAAAAGCAGUUCUUUCCGCACCGAAGCGGUGGCGGCGGUCAUACAUUGUAAGUUUAAGUGCGAUUCGCUUUCAAAGAACCUGUUGACUGGUCAGUGUUGGAGAACGGUCGUCCUGUGAGCCAACACUUACCCCGUCUACUUCUUCGAACCUUCUCGGUCUCAUUUGGGGUCAUCAUGUUUUCGCGUUGGCUCGGUCCGAAUUCGAAGUGGAACCCACGUUACAAGACCCGGCUGGUGGGAUUGACUGGCGAAUAUUGUCGGGUGUCAUUCCUCAUCACCAAAGUCAACUGAGAUGGACUCCAGCUCACCUUUGACCCCAAUGAGGAAACGCAUCGUGGAGAAUGCAUGGAUGGAUGGAUGGAAUCCUGAGUGACAAUGCUCAUCGGCAUAAUUCAUCUGGCGGCGGAAAUCGGGGAUGGCAGAGAAACACCAGCGAUGGCACCAGCGUGAGUGUGGAGCAGUGCCACAUGCAGGAAACAGGUGCCAGCGAUGAUUUCAUUGUUUCCAAGGGGCAGGAGAGAUUGGAUGUGACAGUCAU